rnacentral:rRNA from 1 species
UACGAAGGGGGCUAGCGUUGCUCGGAAUCACUGGGCGUAAAGCGCACGUAGGCGGUUUGCUAAGUCAGGGGUGAAAUCCUGGAGCUCAACUCCAGAACUGCCUUUGAUACUGGCGGACUUGAGUCCGGGAGAGGUGAGUGGAACUGCGAGUGUAGAGGUGAAAUUCGUAGAUAUUCGCAAGAACACCAGUGGCGAAGGCGGCUCACUGGCCCGGUACUGACGCUGAGGUGCGAAAGCGUGGGGAGCAACAGGAUUAAGAAACCCCGGUGAGUCCCAGAACCGAACG